GCAUUGGUAGCUCAGCGGUAGAAUUCUCCCCUUCCAUGUGGGAGAGCCAAGCUCAAUUCCUGGCCAAUGUG
rnacentral:tRNA from 1 species